CUGUUCAGCCCAGGAACUGGGAUUUGCUUGGUGCCUUCCUAUAUUUAGCAUACAGUAAUGUAACUGAAGCAACCAAAUUAGACUCGCAAAUAGACCGGUUUCUCAGUACUUAAUCAAGGACCUUUUCCCAGAACUGCAGAGGGCUGAAAUUAAAAGAAAGGAAUGCGUGGUAAUCAGCCCAGAAGGACAGAAGGAAACCACCAUGAGUCUGAAGUCCAAAUAUGCACUCUGGCCAACUGAAUGUACCGUUGUUUGAAUUCAAUGCGGCUGCAGAGCAGCUCAGCCCAGGGAUCACACACAGCACUCCAUAGGGCAGAGCCCACGUGUAAGGAACUACUGAGGAACUGCAGCUCUGGAGAUCUGUAUAGAAGGGAGUGACCGAACGACAGAUCCAGCAUACAGACUGCGAAACACAUACGAUGGGCAACCAUCAGUGUGGCAGCACAAAACAGCCAAGCAAGGAGAGGAGGCAGGAGCCCACAGCACUGCUCUCCUUCAAAUUCACUGCUGAUGGGUCUUACAAGGGAACAGCUCUCUGCUGGAUCGGCCAUUGUAGGGAAAGAAGCGCUCUCCCAAAGUGCAGAGAUCUUAAUGUGUUUAUGAGCACCUAAGCUGUGGUACUGAAGUCACUGAAGGAAGAACUGCCCCAGCCCUGAUGCCAACAUCUCCAUGAGCACAGGGAGUGUUGAUGGAGAUGGGGUUCAGAUAAAACAAGCAACUCUGUGCCAAAGGCUUAAAACAGCCAGCACCCCCAGCUCUGAGGCUCUGAAGACAGGCUGGGCUUAGCAGGCAACCACCACUGAGGUCAGGUCAGCUGGCUGAUCCAGGAUAUGACCCAGUGCUAUCAUCAUGAAAAACCUGAAGGGCUGUUUUCACCACUUCUUUGACUCACCAUAGCAUCACAAGGUGUGUUCCCUUUCCUCUCACCUGCCAUGGGGCACUUGCAGAUCACAGAGGUCUCCUGGAAUGAAACGCUACUGACAGUGACCAGGGGAUCCUGUGCUAUUGCCCAGAGCAAAAACCAGUCAGUGGGGAGAACUUUUGCUGGAUCCCUGACCCUUCGUCCAGGGGAAAGGCAACUGGCUUCAAUGCCACAUUAGGCUCCCUUCUGUGCAGAGGGAACUUGGGCUUUGCAGUUUGCAAGCAGUCAUGGAGGAGGUGGAGUGAACAUGCGGCUGGCAAUGGAAAACCUCUCUGAGGAAACCGAAGAGCUUUUGCCCUUCUUUCUGGAGCAUGUCCUGUUCUCUUCUGAGAAACCAGGUCUGGACAGUUGAGCUGCAUAGUCUCUUACUUAACCAAGCCUUCAGAAAGGAGAAGUCAAGGAAGAAAAAGCCAUCCAUGAGAAAAGGUGGGUUUGAUGGGAACUUACUGAGCUGCAGCAUGUAGCCUUUAGGAGAUGUGACUAUUUCUGCUCUGGCUGUACUUCUGGCAAUCAGCAAAGAUAGCAACAGUCCUUUCUUCUCUUAAAAUUAGUUAAUGUCACUUAAGCUUUAACCUGAAAUGUCUAACUUCCGAGAGGAGGGGGACCCCUCACGGAGCACUCACUAGCCAACCCUGAGAACUCACCUAAAGCCAGAAGGCCCAUUUCUUCAGCUUGUCAUGCACAGAUCCAUCCAGGUCACAUGGAGUUCUGCAGUCUCAAGAGCUGAAGCCUCUUAAUUUCUGAUCAUGAGAUGUUUAUGUCACUUUUACAAGCUACAAGCUACUCAAGACUGCCUGGCUAUUACAGCUUAAAUGUAUAAACGACAUCCUCAAAUGAACACGCUAUGUUUUUUCUUUAACCUACACACAUGCACACAGAAUUUGUUAAAAACUGAGAGCUUUUUGAGAAAUCAAGG
ensembl:lncRNA